rnacentral:rRNA from 1 species
UACGUAGGGGGCAAGCGUUAUCCGGAUUUACUGGGUGUAAAGGGAGCGUAGACGGCGGAACAAGUCAGAAGUGAAAACCCGGGGCUCAACCCUGGGAGUGCUUUUGAAACUGUGUGACUGGAGUGCAGGAGAGGUAAGCGGAAUUCCUGGUGUAGCGGUGAAAUGCGUAGAUAUCAGGAGGAACACCAGUGGCGAAGGCGGCUUACUGGACUGUAACUGACGUUGAGGCUCGAAAGCGUGGGGAGCAAACAGG